rnacentral:rRNA from 1 species
AGUGAACGCUGGCGGUAGACCUAACACAUGCAAGUCGAACGGCAGCACAGUAAGAGCUUGCUCUUACGGGUGGCGAGUGGCGGAUGGGUGAGGAAUACAUCGGAAUCUACUUUUUCGUGGGGGAUAACGUAGGGAAACUUACGCUAAUACCGCAUACGACCUACGGGUGAAAGCAGGGGAUCUUCGGACCUUGCGCGAUUGAAUGAGCCGAUGUCGGAUUAGCUAGUUGGCGGGGUAAAGGCCCACCAAGGCAACGAUCCGUAGCUGGUCUGAGAGGAUGAUCAGCCACACGGGAACUGAGACACGGUCCAGACUCCUACGGGAGGAAGCAGUGGGGAAUAUUGGACAAUGGGCGAAAGCCUGAUCCAGCCAUACCGCGUGGGUGAAGAAGGCCUUCGGGUUGUAAAGCCCUUUUGUUGGGAAAGAAAAGCAGCAGGUUAAUACCCCGCUGUUCUGACGGUACCCAAAGAAUAAGCACCGGCUAACUUCGUG